rnacentral:sRNA from 1 species
AUAUUUCCACUGAAUAGAAUUGUCAGAAAAUCUAGAUCUUCAGGCAUCUUGGGGAAAAUCAGUGCAAGAAUCCUCAGGGAGUCAUUUGUUCAAAUAACCUAAUCUAGGCCUUUGGAAUUGUUAAUUUGUAUGAAUAGCACUAGUUUGAAAUAUAGUGAAUAUAAAGCUGUUCUAUUUUGGGUUUGUUUUUGUUUUUGUUUUCAAUUUUCUUCUGGUGAUUUGCCUCUUUAGCUCUUCAAAGGAAUCUAAAGACAGCAAGGCAUCAUCUAAAGAUGACAAAGGAAGUACAAGUAGUACUAGUGGUAGCAGUGGAAGCUCAACUAAAAAUAUCUGGGUUAGUGGACUUUCAUCUAAUACCAAAGCUGCUGAUUUGAAGAACCUCUUUGGCAAAUAUGGAAAGGUUCUGAGUGCAAAAGUAGUUACAAAUGCUCGAAGUCCUGGGGCAAAAUGCUAUGGCAUUGUAACUAUGUCUUCAAGCACAGAGGUGUCCAGGUGUAUUGCACAUCUUCAUCGCACUGAGCUGCAUGGACAGCUGAUUUCUGUUGAAAAAGUAAAAGGUGAUCCCUCUAAGAAAGAAAUGAAGAAAGAAAAUGAUGAAAAGAGUAGUUCAAGAAGUUCUGGAGAUAAAAAAAAUACGAGUGAUAGAAGUAGCAAGACACAAGCCUCUGUCAAAAAAGAAGAGAAAAGAUCGUCUGAGAAAUCUGAAAAAAAAGAAA